AGAGUUUGAUCCUGGCUCAGGAUGAACGCUGGCGGCGUGCUUAACACAUGCAAGUCGAACGAACCUUCGGGUUAGUGGCGGACGGGUGAGUAACGCGUGAGAAUCUGCCCUCAGGAGGGGGAUAACGGUUGGAAACGACCGCUAAUACCCCAUAUGCCUACUGGUGAAAUGAAUUUCGCCUGAGGAUGAGCUCGCGUCUGAUUAGCUAGUUGGUGAGGUAAUGGCUCACCAAGGCUUCGAUCAGUAGCUGGUCUGAGAGGAUGAUCAGCCACACUGGGACUGAGACACGGCCCAGACUCCUACGGGAGGCAGCAGUGGGGAAUUUUCCGCAAUGGGCGAAAGCCUGACGGAGCAACGCCGCGUGAGGGA
rnacentral:rRNA from 1 species